rnacentral:misc_RNA from 1 species
CGGUAAUCGAGCACGACUUUGACAACGGGCUGAAGGUCAAGAACACGUCGCGUUAUGCAAACUACGACAAGUUUUACCAGAACGUCUUUCCUGGCAGCGCCGUCAAUCCGCUGACCAAUCAGCUUACGCUUUCGGCAUACAACAACGGCAUCAAGCGCCAGAAUCUGUUCAACCAGACCGACUGGACCUACAAGACCAAU